rnacentral:rRNA from 1 species
CUCACCAAGCCUUUUACCGGUACGGGCCGUGAGAGCGGGAGCCCGGAGAUGGGCACUGAGACAAGGGCCCAGGCCCUACGGGGCGCAGCAGUCGCGAAAACUUUGCAAUACACGAAAGUGUGACAAGGCUAUCCCGAGUGCCAUCCGCUGAGGAAGGCUUUUACCCAGUAUAAAUAGCUGGGAGAAUAAGGAGAGGGCAAGUCUGGUGUCAGCCGCCGCGGUAAUACCAGCUCUCCGAGUAGUGUGGAUGUUUAUUGGGCCUAAAGCAUCCGUAGCUUGCUAUACAAGUCCUCUGUUAAAUCCACCGAUUUAAUCGUUGGAUUGCGGGGGAUACUGUUUGGCUAGGGGACGGGAGAGGCCGACGGUAUUUCCGGGGUAGGGGUGAAAUCCUAUAAUCCCGGGAAGACCACCAGUGGCGAAGGCUGUCGGCUAGAACGCGCCCGACGGUGAGGGAUGAAAGCUGGGGGAGCGAACCGGAUUAGAUACCCGGGUAGUCCCAGCUGUAAACGAUGCGGGCUAGGUGUAGGGGCAGCUACGAGCUGCUCCUGUGCCGCAGAGAAAUUGUUAAGCCCGCCGCCUGGGGAGUACGAUCGCAAGAUUGAAACUUAAAGGAAUUGGCGGGGGAGCACAAGGGCGAAUCGCGCCGCUAU